GAUCCUGGCUCAGGAUGAACGCUGGCGGCGUGCCUAAUACAUGCAAGUCGAGCGGCAGCACGGUCUUCGGACUGGUGGCGAGCGGCGGACGGCUGAGUAACGCGUAGGAAUAUACCCCAAAGUGAGGGAUAACUGCCCGAAAGGGUGGCUAAUACCGCAUGUGGUCUUCGGACUAAAGCCUUCGGGCGCUUUGGGAAUAGCCUGCGUAAGAUUAGCUAGUUGGUGAGGUAAUGGCUCACCAAGGCGACGAUCUUUAGCUGGUCUGAGAGGAUGACCAGCCAGACUGGAACUGAGACACGGUCCAGACUCCUACGGGAGGCAGCAGUAGGGAAUUUUCCACAAUGGGCGAAAGCCUGAUGGAGCAACGCCGCGUGCAGGAUGAAGGCCCUCGGGUCGUAAACUGCUUUUAUGUGCGAAGAAUAUGACGGUAACACAUGAAUAAGGGUCGGCUAACUACGUG
rnacentral:rRNA from 1 species